GGUAGUGAUGAAAGAUUGCUUGUUUCCAACACUUCUUAUAUGAGAAGUGCUUUUUGAAAGCCCUUCCACAAACAAACUAGCAUCUUUACUGAGCC